rnacentral:lncRNA from 1 species
AAACACACUAAAAAUGACUAUUAAGAAGACCACUAGAUCAAGAGGUAAAUCAAUCAAUUCUUCAGUUCAAGAAAUAAUGAUAUGAGGCAUAAAGAAUGCUUAAUAUCAAGUACGGAGAAGAACACUAGAUAAACAGAAUGAAGCAUGCCCUCAGCCCAAGAAAAUAGAGACAUGAGGCGGAUGAGUUCGACAAUAUUUCAAAAGCAGAACAAAACGGCUUGGUAAUUUUAGCAUCAACACAAGCAGUAGUCACUUCAUCCCGAAAUGGUAUCUAAAGUCUGAAACAAGCAUAGCUUUCGUGCAACCACAUGACAGUCACUUCUGAUAAACACAAAAAGAAGAAAUCAGCAGGCUCAUACUUGAUCCAAUACAUAGACAUUGCAACUCAUGAGUAUACGAAAACUAGGCCAUUAAGAAGCACCGCCUCACUCAACAGCCGUCUGAUUAAAGGUGAAGCGUCCACAACGUAACCUUCUAGUGUUGUGAAAAGAUCAUGCGGAACAAGAGUUUGUUUGAGCCGGUGCCUAGAUGCAUAGAUAUCUUGGAUGCUAGCAACCAGUUUGCCAUCAGUGUCAACGUAAAACAGCCAAUGACCAAAACUGACCAGCAAGAGAAGAACACUAGAUAAACAGAAUGAAGCAUGCCCUCAAUCCUAAACAACUUCUGUUUCAUAGUAUGAUCCGAAGUCCAAACAGCGCGUCUGUGCGCUCUGAACAGGAUGUUACUAGCUAUAAAGUACAGCACCUGCCCGCAGAAAUAUGUUAACAUCUGAAUCUACCAAACGCAUGUAGAAACAACAAAAAACAAAUUGUGCCCGGAACUUUUAUAUGCACAGCACCGCCAAAGAAGUUAUCAACAGCAUUUGUGCUACAAGCUUCGCAUGAAGCAUCUAUCCAAAAUGGUUAACAAUUGAAUUGAAAUAAUAAUAGGUAAUAAUUGCAAACCGUGCAACAGAAAAAUGCAACAAGAUAUUCAUAGGUUUUCAGGACUGCGGUACCAGACUUUUGUAGAACAAUACUACUACAGACAUGUCCAAUUCUCGAUAUAGUGGUGAGCUUAGUCUCUGUAAGACCUAACUAACCAUGUCCAUCAUUUCUCUGAUUAUUUUAUUAGCUAUUGGGCAAAGGGCAUAAAUAUGACACUGAAACCUAGCCUAAAAUCUCUUUACACAAGAAAUCAAAAGGAUUUGGAAUGAUUUGUUAAAGUAAAACAUGUCUAAAUCCUGCAAUAAAUAGAUCUGCUCCAAGCUAUCAUGACAGACACACGUAAGAUGGCUCCGUGGCCAUCAAUCAUCUCCUACAAGCCUACAAUCCAAUACAUGAUCCUGCAUAAGCCAAGUUUUAAUUUACGAGAGCAUCAUAUCAACUGAGCUCGUAUGCUAGUUAACUUAUAACCAGCAACAGACAGCUACAGUUGACGGUGGUAGAUGCAUGAAGAAAACUGAAUUAUAACAGAACAAUUCAUUGAGAAGUUGACUAUGAUGCAACAUGCAAGCAUUUAACUAAAUUAGUUGUGCUCCAAGGUAUUCUAGAAGACAGGUGCAGCUUCAAGUCAGCAAGGAGUAAAACCUGCCUCUUCUCAUUGCCAGCUACAACAAAGGGUACAAACAGCAAACACACACAAAAAUUGACUAUUAAGAAGACCACUAGAUCAAGAGGUAAAUCAAUCAAUUCUUCAGUUCAAGAAACAGUGAUGUGAGGCAUAAAGAAUGCUUAAUAUCAAGUAUGGAGAAGAACACUAGAUGAAUAUAGAAUAAAGCAUGUCCUCAGCCCAAGAAAAUAGAGACAUGAGGCGGAUGAGCUCGACAAUAUUUCAAAAGCAGAACAAAACGGCUUGGUAAUUUUAGCAUCAACACAAGCAGUAGUCACUUCAUCCCGAAAUGGUAUCUAAAGUCUGAAACAAGCAUAGGUUUCAUGCAACCACAUGACAGUCACUUCUGAUCGACACAAAAAGAAGAAAUCAGCAGGCCCAU